AGGACUGGUGUUGGUUUUAUGAAGCGGGAGAAAAGGAGCUGACUUGGUCCAACACCAGUAUGACGCUGGACUACACCAAUUGGGACACGCGUCAAAAGGGAAGCUCCAACGUUGCUUCCUGCGCCUACGUCAACCAAGGUGUGGACAGUCAGCCUGGAAGGUGGAGACAUGGAUCGUGCGGAUCCUCCUUGGCGUACAUGUGCGAGCGGCCGCUCGACGACUGCCCGGAGGGACGGCUGUGUUCCUACAAAGACUACGGAUUGGGCUACAAUCGAGUGGAGAGU